UACGGGGGGGGCAAGCGUUGUUCGGAAUUACUGGGCGUAAAGGGCCAGUAGGCGGCCAACUAAGUCGGAUGUGAAAUCCCCAGGCUUAACCUGGGAACUGCAUCCGAUACUGGAUGGCUUGAAUUCGGGAGAGGGAUGCAGAAUUCCAGGUGUAGCGGUGAAAUGCGUAGAUAUCAAGAGGAACACCGGUGGCGAAGGCGGCUCACUGGCUCAUUACUGACGCUCAGGCGCGAUAGCGUGGGGAUCAAACAGG
rnacentral:rRNA from 1 species